AGCACCUGCUUAAGAUCUCUGCUUGCAGAGAUGUUGGCUAUUAAGGUCUGGUUCAAGUUCUAGUUUGAUCUGUCUCUCAAAACGAGCCUUUCUGCAUUCUGAGCCUCUCAGUUGUGCUGGAUUUCUGGGGCUGAUGAGUGUGUAUGGACAACCACAGGGAGAGGCAAGUGACUUCUGGGAGAAACGACCUUCAACCUUGAAUGGACCUAUGGAAAAAGACCGCAGCGCAUGGUUUUGGCCCUUUUUUCCUGAGUCCUGUUCUCUAUUCAUUAUUUUGUGAAAAGUGAAUUCUCAUACCUGCUUCUACAUUUCAAUCUUGUGAUACUCCACUGUGGUUGAAGCGUAUGAGGAAAAUCCAGCCUCACACAGGAGGCCACCACCCCUUUGCAACCUGAUUAGAGAAAAAUGAACGAUGGAGGAAAGGUCAACCUAAAGAGGCUUUGACUGUACACUUAAGAAUCCUCACAGUCCGGCUCUGCAGGUUGACGCUACCAGGAGGAGGACAGAAGAUCUACUA